rnacentral:rRNA from 1 species
GAUUAAGUUAUUAAGGGCGCACGGUGGAUGCCUUGGCACUAGAAGCCGAUGAAGGACGUUACUAACGACGAUAUGCUUUGGGGAGCUGUAAGUAAGCUUUGAUCCAGAGAUUUCCGAAUGGGGAAACCCAGCAUGAGUUAUGUCAUGUUAUCGAUAUGUGAAUACAUAGCAUAUCAGAAGGCACACCCGGAGAACUGAAACAUCUUAGUACCCGGAGGAAGAGAAAGAAAAUUCGAUUCCCUUAGUAGCGGCGAGCGAAACGGGAAGAGCCCAAACCAACAAGCUUGCUUGUUGGGGUUGUAGGACACUCUGUACGGAGUUACAAAGGACGACAUUAGACGAAUCAUCUGGAAAGAUGAAUCAAAGAAGGUAAUAAUCCUGUAGUCGAAAAUGUUGUCUCUCUUGAGUGGAUCCUGAGUACGACGGAGCACGUGAAAUUCCGUCGGAAUCUGGGAGGACCAUCUCCUAAGGCUAAAUACUCUCUAGUGACCGAUAGUGAACCAGUACCGUGAGGGAAAGGUGAAAAGCACCCCGGAAGGGGAGUGAAAUAGAACCUGAAACCGUGUGCUUACAAGUAGUCAGAGCCCGUUAAUGGGUGAUGGCGUGCCUUUUGUAGAAUGAACCGGCGAGUUACGAUUUGAUGCAAGGUUAAGCAGUAAAUGUGGAGCCGUAGCGAAAGCGAGUCUGAAUAGGGCGUUUAGUAUUUGGUCGUAGACCCGAAACCAGGUGAUCUACCCUUGGUCAGGUUGAAGUUCAGGUAACACUGAAUGGAGGACCGAACCGACUUACGUUGAAAAGUGAGCGGAUGAACUGAGGGUAGCGGAGAAAUUCCAAUCGAACCUGGAGAUAGCUGGUUCUCUCCGAAAUAGCUUUAGGGCUAGCCUCAAGUGAUGAUUAUUGGAGGUAGAGCACUGUUUGGACGAGGGGCCCCUCUCGGGUUACCGAAUUCAGACAAACUCCGAAUGCCAAUUAAUUUAACUUGGGAGUCAGAACAUGGGUGAUAAGGUCCGUGUUCGAAAGGGAAACAGCCCAGACCACCAGCUAAGGUCCCAAAAUAUAUGUUAAGUGGAAAAGGAUGUGGCGUUGCCCAGACAACUAGGAUGUUGGCUUAGAAGCAGCCAUCAUUUAAAGAGUGCGUAAUAGCUCACUAGUCGAGUGACACUGCGCCGAAAAUGUACCGGGGCUAAACAUAUUACCGAAGCUGUGGAUUGUCCUUUGGACAAUGGUAGGAGAGCGUUCUAAGGGCGUUGAAGCAUGAUCGUAAGGACAUGUGGAGCGCUUAGAAGUGAGAAUGCCGGUGUGAGUAGCGAAAGACGGGUGAGAAUCCCGUCCACCGAUUGACUAAGGUUUCCAGAGGAAGGCUCGUCCGCUCUGGGUUAGUCGGGUCCUAAGCUGAGGCCGACAGGCGUAGGCGAUGGAUAACAGGUUGAUAUUCCUGUACCACCUAUAAUCGUUUUAAUCGAUGGGGGGACGCAGUAGGAUAGGCGAAGCGUGCGAUUGGAUUGCACGUCUAAGCAGUAAGGCUGAGUAUUAGGCAAAUCCGGUACUCGUUAAGGCUGAGCUGUGAUGGGGAGAAGACAUUGUGUCUUCGAGUCGUUGAUUUCACACUGCCGAGAAAAGCCUCUAGAUAGAAAAUAGGUGCCCGUACCGCAAACCGACACAGGUAGUCAAGAUGAGAAUUCUAAGGUGAGCGAGCGAACUCUCGUUAAGGAACUCGGCAAAAUGACCCCGUAACUUCGGGAGAAGGGGUGCUCUUUAGGGUUAACGCCCAGAAGAGCCGCAGUGAAUAGGCCCAAGCGACUGUUUAUCAAAAACACAGGUUUCUGCUAAACCGUAAGGUGAUGUAUAGGGGCUGACGCCUGCCCGGUGCUGGAAGGUUAAGAGGAGUGGUUAGCUUCUGCGAAGCUACGAAUCGAAGCCCCAGUAAACGGCGGCCGUAACUAUAACGGUCCUAAGGUAGCGAAAUUCCUUGUCGGGUAAGUUCCGACCCGCACGAAAGGCGUAACGAUUUGGGCACUGUCUCAACGAGAGACUCGGUGAAAUCAUAGUACCUGUGAAGAUGCAGGUUACCCGCGACAGGACGGAAAGACCCCGUGGAGCUUUACUGUAGCCUGAUAUUGAAAUUCGGCACAGCUUGUACAGGAUAGGUAGGAGCCUUUGAAACGUGAGCGCUAGCUUACGUGGAGGCGCUGGUGGGAUACUACCCUAGCUGUGUUGGCUUUCUAACCCGCACCACUUAUCGUGGUGGGAGACAGUGUCAGGCGGGCAGUUUGACUGGGGCGGUCGCCUCCUAAAAGGUAACGGAGGCGCUCAAAGGUUCCCUCAGAAUGGUUGGAAAUCAUUCAUAGAGUGUAAAGGCAUAAGGGAGCUUGACUGCGAGACCUACAAGUCGAGCAGGGUCGAAAGACGGACUUAGUGAUCCGGUGGUUCCGCAUGGAAGGGCCAUCGCUCAACGGAUAAAAGCUACCCCGGGGAUAACAGGCUUAUCUCCCCCAAGAGUUCACAUCGACGGGGAGGUUUGGCACCUCGAUGUCGGCUCAUCGCAUCCUGGGGCUGUAGUCGGUCCCAAGGGUUGGGCUGUUCGCCCAUUAAAGCGGUACGCGAGCUGGGUUCAGAACGUCGUGAGACAGUUCGGUCCCUAUCCGUCGUGGGCGUAGGAAAUUUGAGAGGAGCUGUCCUUAGUACGAGAGGACCGGGAUGGACAUACCUCUGGUGUACCAGUUGUCGUGCCAACGGCAUAGCUGGGUAGCUAUGUGUGGACGGGAUAAGUGCUGAAAGCAUCUAAGCAUGAAGCCCCCCUCAAGAUGAGAUUUCCCAACUUCGGUUAUAAGAUCCCUCAAAGAUGAUGAGGUUAAUAGGUUCGAGGUGGAAGCAUGGUGACAUGUGGAGCUGACGAAUACUAAUCGAUCGAAGACUUAAUCAA